UCAAGGGAAGAGAUACAGAGGGGAUACGAAGAGAGCUGAGGCCUAGAAUGAUCCAGAUAGAACAGAGAGUGCAGAAGGAAGAUUUCAACUCCUGUAUUCAGAUAAGACGGUGUAACACGUUUUGGAGGUAAUUUAUACUGUCACCUGUACUGGAGAUAGAGAGGAAAGAAAAUCCCUGAAGGAGGAUUCUCCCUCCCUGAAGAAGGAGGAGAUCGUCGCCUAAAGAAGGAUAGUCUGGGACCACAGAAAGCUGGGGACAAGGAGACGAAUAGACAGACUGUGUGAAGGAAAAAAGGUGCUCAAUAUCCUGGUUUACAGUUUUCCAAUGCAAUAAUUUAUACUUUCAAGACUUCAGUAGAAUGUGACAGCAUUACAUACUGCGUAAAUGGAGUUGGGAGAAGUUAACUUUGAAAUUCUACGUCCAUAUUCACUGCAAUUGAACUGGAGACAAAGAUGGGCAAGGAGAAAAGACGUUAAAUGGAAGUGGUAACCCUAAGGCUGGAAGAAGAGAUGCAAAUAAAGGCUGGAAUGGAUUUGUGGAAUUUGUAACAAACACUUCCUAGAAGCGAUUCUCAGUAAAAGGGGGCAGAGACAGGUGCACUAAGUUAGCAAACAAAUUCCAACAAUGUGCACUGGGGGGUCAUAUCCCAGGGAUGCCAUGAAAGGAAAGGCCCAGGCUUGGCAGAAAAAGGGACGGGGCAGGUGUGGAACUCCCACAUUACCUUUCUCCUUCUCUUCCUGAAGACGUUUUGCCAAAAGCAUAUAAUUCAACUUCUGAAAAAUACGAAUGGUCUUCAUCACUGCAGACACCGCCCCAGCAUUUUGAAUCAUCAAGGUAGCUACUUGUAUUCUGUUUGCAGUAUGUAGUUUGCCUGUGGCGAUAUUAAACUCGUCUGAAAGAAAGAACUUAAACCUAUCCAGUUCCUCAUCAGUGAUGUUAUCCAGGCCUGUUAGCAAGAGUAUCUCCUUGUAUUUACUCUCCAUCUGACAACUUUGGGA